rnacentral:rRNA from 1 species
UACGAAGGGGGCUAGCGUUGCUCGGAAUCACUGGGCGUAAAGCGCACGUAGGCGGAUCUUUAAGUCGGUGGUGAAAUCCUGGAGCUCAACUCCAGAACUGCCUUCGAUACUGAGGGUCUCGAGUCCGGGAGAGGUGAGUGGAACUGUGAGUGUAGAGGUGAAAUUCGUAGAUAUUCGCAAGAACACCAGUGGCGAAGGCGGCUCACUGGCCCGGUACUGACGCUGAGGUGCGAAAGCGUGGGGAGCAAACAGG